GACGAACGCUGGCGGCGUGCUUAACACAUGCAAGUCGAACGGUGAAGCGCUUGCCUUUUUGGUGGGUGUGGAUGAGUGGCGAGCGGGUGAGUAACACGUGAGUAACCUGCCCUCUUCUUCUGGAUAACCUCAUGAAAGUGGGGCUAAUACGGGGUAUUCCGGGUCUGUCGCAUGGCGGGUUUGGGAAAGAUUGCGCCUUUGGGUGUUUUCGGUGGGGGAUGGGCUCGCGGCCUAUCAGCUUGUUGGUGGGGUGAUGGCCUACCAAGGCGGUGACGGGUAGCCGGCCUGAGAGGGUGGACGGCCAAACUGGGACUGAGACACGGCCCAGACUCCUGCGGGAGGCAGCAGUGGGGAAUAUUGCACAAUGGGCGCAAGCCUGAUGCAGCGACGCCGCGUGAGGGAGGGAGGCCUUCGGGUUGUGAACCUCUUUCGCCAGUGAAGCAGGCCUGCUCCUGUGUGGGUGGGUUGACGGUAGCUAGAUAAGAAGCGCCGGCUAACUACGUG
rnacentral:rRNA from 1 species